CUGUUCCUACGGGGGGCAGCAGUGAGGAAUAUUGGUCAAUGGGCGGGAGCCUGAACCAGCCAAGCCGCGUGAGGGAAGAAGGUACAGCGUAUCGUAAACCUCUUUUGUCAGGGAACAAAGGCGGGGACUAGUCCCCGGAUGAGGGUACCUGAAGAAAAAGCAUCGGCUAACUCCGUGCCAGCAGCCGCGGUAAUACGGAGGAUGCGAGCGUUAUCCGGAUUUACUGGGUGUAAAGGGAGCGUAGACGGCGUGCCAAGUCUGAUGUGAAAGGCCGGGGCUCAACCCCGGGACUGCAUUGGAAACUG
rnacentral:rRNA from 1 species